rnacentral:rRNA from 1 species
AGCGCAGGCGGUCUUUUAAGUCUGAUGUGAAAGCCUUCGGCUUAACCGGAGAAGUGCAUCGGAAACUGGGAGACUUGAGUGCAGAAGAGGACAGUGGAACUCCAUGUGUAGCGGUGAAAUGCGUAGAUAUCGGAAGGAACACCAGUGGCGAAGGCGACUUCCUGGCCCAUUACUGACGCUGAGGUGCGAAAGCGUGGGGAGCAAACA